AUGGGGCUGAUGGACACAUUCGGUUGGCGAAGCGAAUGGAGGCUCAAACUGGAGUUGUCCUGAGCCCAAUCGAUGUCUAUAGGAGAGGGCAUAGAGCGAAAAACUGUGAAAUCUCCGAUGAGCUGUGUAGUCAAGCGGCCGUUGAGCGUAUGGAGACAUACAGGCAGGAGAUGGUUAGGAAGUAUGGAG